GCGGCCCUGGGCAGGCAGGAGCGGCGGCCACACAGCGGCCCUGGGCAGGUGGGAGCGGCCACCACACAGCAGCACAGACCCUGAGCCGGCGCAGUUCCUCCAGCCACGCCAGCUGCACCUUGGCUGUGUCCCUGCCGGGCCCCAAACACCUGUGUCCGUGCCACUGGCCGCCUCUUCCCUGCCGUGUCACCCCCACCCCUGCCAAGUGUUCUGUGUGUUUUCACUGCAGGUGAUGUGGGAAAGGGCAAGUCUCAGUUCAACAUUCUGGUUCCUUGGGGGCUGUCGGAACAAUCGUGUGUUCUUUCCAGAGUUUUCUCUGUCUGGGUUUAGAUGCCCACACACGGGAACAUGUAUUCAAUCCCUGUGCGUAUAGAUGGUGCCAUAUACGGAGAGAGGCAUAGAUUGUCUUACGAGAGUGGGGUCGCGUUGCACUGUGGCUUUUUACCUUCUUAGCUUCAUUUUAUCCCGAGCGGCCCCCGAGCCAUCCAGGGAUCCCUGCUGGCCCCUCCCAGGCCCUGUCCGGAGUGCUGAACACAGAGCAGCAGGUGCCGCCAGUCCCCAGCCUCUUGGAGCCCCAUUCCCUCUGGGCGUCGUAGACAGUCGAGUUCAGCACAUCUCUACAUGGAGUUUCGCAAAAGGCAACCACUUUGAAAUGGGAGGGCCGCAGCGCCAUGGCCUGACGACGCCUGCAAAAAGAGGAAUCCGGAGAGCACUCCUGGACCCGUUUCUUCUUAAUCGUCUUCAUCUCAAAGGCCCUUCCUGUUUUGGGGAGUCACACACUCUUCUGACACUGACGACCUGGAGUAUCACAGACCCUGAAGGCCUGGGCCCAAGGAAUCUCGGGAGGUGGAAAUGGACACCCGGGGCCACAGAAGCUGCGCAGGUAAAUAAAAAGGCCUAAUGGGCCCAUCAGGCCCUGAGCUCCCUGCUUCCUGAGGAGCUGUCUUCUGCUGGAACUUGGAGGCCACGUGGGCAGAAUGAAACUCCUGCUUCCGACAGCAGACGGCAGCAGUGACCUACUCCUGGCCGCCCUGCCCAUCUGGAGCGGGUUCUGGGUCUUUUGGGCCCUUUGAGGUUGGUCCACCCUCCUGCCCCGGCAGCAGCCCGUAUUUUACUCCCAGUUGCUCCAGCAUCCCCCAACCCCCUUCCCCAUAAGUAACCUGCCCCCACGCUUGUCCUGGAGCCACGGUGUGGAAGAUUCCAGCAGCAUUGAGGGACCAAAUUUUAUAUACAGUGUUUCCUCCAAGCACGGAGCUCUGAUGUGCCUUUUCCAGGGCCAAAGGCCCCUUCAGCAAUCUUCAGGCUUCCCGCUCCACCUCACCUUCUGUACUGCUGCCAGGCUGACAACAGCCCCCGGGUCUGUGGCUGGCCCCUCUCUCCCAGAGCAUCUUGGCCUGCAGUGCUGGCCACAGCCAGAGAGAGGGAAGAGACAGCCCCAGCAGUAACCACAGGUGCCUUCGGCCCACGCACCUGCCGGUCGGCCCCAAGGGUGCCAGGCCUUCCUCUCCUAUCGCCCCUGUGGGGCUCCAAAGGGCAGCCAGGAGCCCCAGCUCUGCUGUGGCUUUGCUGUUCCCCAACUGUGAGACCCUCAGAGAGCUGCCGGGCGCAGGUUUCCUCCUCGGCCAGCGAGCAGUCAGACCAGGCUUCGGACUCCUCUACUGUUCCAGGGUGGAGGGGAGGACCCAGGAGACCCAACGGCCUGGAUGCCAACAGCCAGUGCGGCCUGACGAUGCCAUAGGGCACAGGGACAGGCUCUCCGUCCUCUGCGGCCCUGUUCUGCUCCCACCCCAGUGCCCUCCUUUCACCCUGGGGUCCUCCCUGGACCAACAGCUGCCACCCACAGCACACUGGGAUAUUUGUGCUGGCCUAGCUACUACCUGACACAGCUGACCACCUCACCCAGCUGAGGACCUGACCCAUCUGACCACCUCACCCAGCUGACUACCCAACCCGUGUAACCACCUCACCCGGCUGACUCCCCGACCCGUGUAACCACCUCACCCGGCUGACUCCCCGACCCGUGUAACCACCUCACCCGGCUGACUCCCCGACCCGUGUAACCACCUCACCCGGCUGACUCCCCGACCCGUGUAACCACCUCACCCGGCUGACUCCCCGACCCGUGUAACCACCUCACCCGGCUGACUCCCCGACCCGUGUAACCACCUCACCCGGCUGACUCCCCGACCCGUGUAACCACCUCACCCGGCUGACUCCCCGACCCGUGUAACCACCUCACCCGGCUGACUCCCCGACCCGUGUAACUACCUCACCCGGCUGACUCCCCGACCCGUGUAACUACCUCACCCGG